rnacentral:rRNA from 1 species
CCUACGGGGGGCAGCAGUGAGGAAUAUUGCGCAAUGGGGGCAACCCUGACGCAGCGACGCCGCGUGGAUGAUGAAGGCCCUUGGGUCGUAAAAUCCUGUCAGAUGGCAAGAAAUGUAUAGCAGCUAAUAUCUGUUAUAUUUGACGGUACCAUCAAAGGAAGCACCGGCUAACUCCGUGCCAGCAGCCGCGGUAAUACGGAGGGUGCAAGCGUGGUUCGGGAUUACUGGGCGUAUAUGGCGCGUAGGCGGUGAAAGCCCUCGGCUUAACCGUGGACGUGCAUUUGAAACUGGCAGACUUGAGUACUGGAGGGGGUGGUGGAAUUCCCGGUGUAGAGGUGAAAUUCGUAGAUAUCGGGAGGAAUACCGGUGGCGAAGGCGACCACCUGGCCAGAUACUGACGCUGAGGUGCGAAAGCGUGGGGAGCAAACAGGAUUAGAUACCCCAGUAGUC